ACUGCUGCAAGUUUUGUUGCAGCCCGGGAGAUAAUAAAAUGCGGAAAACCAUUUACUGAUGUAAAGGAAAUGGUCAUUUGAAUGGCAAACAAUAUCACCGAUCAGCAAAUCAAGGACAUCAAUUCAGCUCCAGCUUUCUCAAUUGCCUGUGAUGAGUCGUGUGACGUGACCGAUAUCGAAAAGGCAGGUCUGCUAUGCAGGUACGUGAACUCUAAUGGGCCGCAAGAAGAAAUUUAUUCCACUAAAAGACCAAAUACGGGGGGAAGGACAUCUGCGAGGCUGUGCUACAGUGUUUAAAUGACAGAGAUACACACUGGCCACCUGAUUUCAGUCACUACAGACGGCACAUCGAGUAUGAGAGGGUCGCAAAAGUUUGUUACUUUACGACAGAAAGCAUUGGAUCGGAAUUUGCUUGCAU